UUGAGAUAUCGUCACUUGGUGUAAGUGGCAUGAGUUGCUGUCGCUCGAUUUAGGUGGCAGUAACGACUGUGUUGGGAUAUCGUCACUUGGUGUAAGUGGCAUGAGUUGCUGUCGCUCGAUUUAGGUGGCAGCAACGACUGUGUUGAGAUAUCGUCACUUGGUGUAAGUGGCAUGAGUUGCUACCGCUCGAUUUAGGUGGUAGUGACGCCUGGUUGUGAGAUAUCGUCACUCAGUAGAGUGGCAUGAGUUGCUACCGCUCGAUUUAGGUGGUAGUGACGCCUGGUUGUGAGAUAUCGUUACUCAGCUGAUUUUAGUGUAAAGAGUAAUUGGAUUUUCAAGUUUGGUUGUUUAUAGUGUGUGAAUACUGGUCAAUGGUCCGGUAGUGUUAGUUGAUGAUUUAUCAUGAUGUAAUGUGAGCUCAUGUAGAGUCACAAGUAGAGCUCAUGUAGAGUCGCAAGUAGAGCUCAUGUAGAGUCACAAGUAGAACUCGUGUAGAGUCACAAGAAGAGCUCGUGUAGAGUCACAAGUAGAGCUCGUGUAGAGUCACAAGUAGAGCUCGUGUAGAGUCACAAGUAGAGCUCGUGUAGAGUCACAAGUAGAGCUCGUGUAGAGUCACAAGUAGAGCUCGUGUAGAGUCACAAGUAGAGCUCGUGUAGAGUCACAAGUAGAGCUCGUGUAGAGUCUCAAGUAGAGCUCGUGUAGAGUCUCAAGUAGAGCUCGUGUAGAGUCUCAAGUAGAGCUCGUGUAGAGUCUCAAGUAGAGCUCGUGUAGAGUCUCAAGUAGAGCUCAUGUAGAGUCUCAAGUAGAGCUCAUGUAGGAGCUUACGUAGAGUCACAAAAAGAACUCGGGUAGAGUCCUAUAUAGUCUCAUGUUAGGUCAGGAAUGACCGAGCGAACUUGGAUACUGUGCUGUAGCAUAUUGUUUCAGAUUAACACACGAGGACGUGUGUCACGCAGGAUGGCCGUGUCGGAGUUAGUUAUGAAUUAAGAAGAGAAAUUGAUCAAAUCGGAAAAUAAAAUGAAGUUACAUCACUACCGUCAUGAAGUUGCAUCGCUCCGACGUCAGGUGGCGUACGGCCAGAGCCGAGUGAAGUCGGAGAGUCACUACAGAGUCGUCGUGUCGAGCGGACGUGCACUGCCGUUCUAGUCGGGCAGUCUACCGCGAACCAUCGUCAUGAGCGGACGUGUCGAAUAAUUACGAGGAGUGCUAUAGUCGCUCACCUAUAACUUGUAGGGACGUCAAGAAAGUGUGAUCGGAAAAGAGUACCUAGCAAGUACGUUCACAUGUCCCGAUGAUUCGGUCCGAAUAUAGGAACCAUGGGUGGUGGAGGGCAAGUAGAGGGCGAGUAGCCCCUUCGCGCUAAUGUCCUUAUGCGCGCUAGAUAACGAGAGACUGUGUAACCGUUACGAAUACCGUGACGUUGCCGUGAGUGUGUACCUUAUGCUGUGACUUUAUUUAAUCGUGAUACAAAAACUAUGUGGAAGUAAAUAAAAUGAUUGUGAUACUAU